AUUCAAGAAACGGACUCUAUCUGGAAAAGGAAAACAAUAUCAAAGCUCCUCUGUGAGAAGUUGGCCGAGGAAAGCAUUCAGAAGAAAGUGGAGAUUCAUUGUUUUUACCAGAUCCAGUAGAUCACAGAAAGCAUCUAGUAGGGGAGGUCUACAGAUCGAAGCAUGCCAAAUGUGUAAAGAACAAGUUUCCAGGAUUAAGCCAGCCAGUAGAUGAGACUAUUAUAUCAAAAAUACAUUUACUUGUACACGAGGGCAGGACACAAAGCGUUGAUGAAACAAAAAGACAUUUCCGUCUGUUUGUAAAGGAUACUAUUUCACCAGGGAACACCAUCUCAGAAUUUAACAGAUGCUUUUACCCCGCCAAUAAGGAUGUAAGAAAUCACAUUUACAGGGCACCGAGAUUUUGCCAGGUAGUUUAGAACUGUGUGCAUUGGUUUUGGAAGAAUUUGGGCUGUUUAGGCUAAAAUCCAUUAUGAUUGGACAGAAUAUGAACACACACAUCCAAUACUUCAAAGAUAUUAUGUUUGUGGAGGCAGAGAUUUUGAUUGCAUCCACUGUUUAGAAUACAUCCUUAAGGGAAGCAGACUGCCGCCUUUACCCAAUGAUAUAAUGAUUAAUCAUAACUAUAUCUGUUUUGUACCAAAUAGAAAGAGCAUUGAUUCAGGUCAUUUUCAAAUCCACUGGCAUACAUUGUACUAUACAUGCAACCUUUUCAAACUUUACAUUUAAGAUUUUAUAAAGGAAAUAUCUUAAUGUUUCACAUGUUUACCUUUCACUGUGCUAUGUAAUUCAUUAUACCUGCCAUUAUGCCAGUCUUCCUGAACAUAAUUUGUUUUCUGCAAUUUCAUUGGCCAAGAGGCUUAAUCCUGGGUUAUCAGAUUGAGCAUUUAUAUUUAGUAUCCCAUUGAUUUUGUCAGCCCUAUAUAAGGAGCUGACUCAGAUUUACUCACUCUGCUAGGUUAAAGAACUCUAAGGUUUGUACUUUUCACAUGAAUUUCGUGUUCGCCUCUUAUCUUUUACAUAGAGUAGGAAAUGAGCAUAACAUUGAGUUAGGGAACAAUUUAGAUUUUACAUUAUAAUAUGUAAAUACCUUAGCAGAGUCAAUUUACUUGGUUCAGGGUAGUAUCAGAUAUUACUUUUUCAAAGUUUAAGUGUUUAGGCUAUCUCAAUGUUUCUAUAGUUAGCCUUGUCCUAUGUUACUUUUAGAUGUAUGGAAGCCUUUUAGUGUUAUAACACUAUAUUUAUGCCCCCAUUCAAAGAAGAGGGGCAUAUUUGUUUGCACCUGUUGGUCGGUCGGUAGACCACAUGUUGUCCGCUUAAUAUCUUAAGAACCAUUCACUUGAUCGUAAUAUAUUUCAUAUGUGGGUUGGUUAUGAAAAGAAGACCCCAAUUGUUUUUCUGGUCGAAAUGUCAAGGGUCAAUCUACUCUGGACAUAGGAAGACACUGCCUGCUCAAUAUCUUGAGAACCCUUUGCUUGACAGACAUCAAACUUGGUACACUGGUACAUCUCAAGGAGUAGAUUUGAGGUCACAUGGUCAAAAGUCAAGGGGUAAACUGGACAUAGUAAUAUAUUGUCUCUUAUGUUUUAAGAAUUAUUUGCUUGAUUGACACCAAACCUGGUACAGCAUAAGGAGUAGAUGACCCCUAUUGAUUUUUAGGUCACUUGGUCAAUCCACUCCUGACACAGGAAGAUAUUGUUUGCUCAAUAUUUCGAAUUGAUGACACUACUAUCAAUCAAAUUAUGCAUGUGUAUAACCCUUUUCAAUUUUGCACCAUGGGGGCUUAUAUGUUUUACAAACACCUCAUGUUUUAUAGUUUGUGAAAGCUUGUUAGGGUCAUAACUUUAGAUUUUCUUAUUAUGGUACUUGCCCGUCAGAGACUGGACAUAUUAUGGUAUGGUGUUAUCUGUCCGGACCUUGUAAGAUGGGAUACAGACUGAACCGUAAGCUCCAGAAUCUUACAACUUGGUACAUUUGAUCACCAUAAAAGGAAGAUGCUUAUUGUUUUUUAAGGUCAAGGUUGUAGGUUCACUUAAUAGGAAAACCUUGUUUGAGAAAAUUACAGAUUCUUGAACUGAGUAUUUUGAGGAAACAUUACAUAGAAAGUACAUGAUUUGUCAAAUUUCUCCCAAUAUUCAACUGAGAACCUUAUUCUGCAGAGUAUUUGUAUGGGUAUGGAAAAUGUGUAUGUGGCUAUGAUUUUGAUUUUUGUUUAAUUUUUUUUUUUUUUUUUUUGAAAAUUACAGGUUUAACCGAGUCAGUUUUUGAGGAAAUAUACAUGUAUUAAAUAAAUGACGGUUUGACCUUUUAACUCCUCUCACAGUUUUGAAACUAGGGUCUUUGUAAAUAACUUCUUUGGUGUUUUAGAAUAUUUACAGAUUGUUGAUCAUGGUAAAUUUUGGGGAAAUAUUUUCCGCAGAGCUCUAGUUGUCUAUCUACCGGCCUCCUGUCACUUUUAAGUUUAGGAGCUUUUAUUCAUGGAAAGAAAGUAUGUGACAGCCUGAUGAUGGCUGAUACUAUUUAAAGCCUUUUUAUACGCCCGUCUUAAGACGGGACGUAUUAUGGUAUGGCGUUCAUGUCUGUCCAUCUGUUAGCUUUUUCGUGUCCGACCCGUAACUUAAAUACUACAAGGCCUAGAAUCAUCAAACUUUGUCUGUAGAUGCAUCUUGGGUAGAAGGUGUGUCGCACAUUAAAACCAGGUCACUGUGACUUUUCAUUAAGAAGAUAUCCGUCUGUCCGUCCGUCUGUUAGCUUUUUCGUGUCUGACCCGUAACUUAAAUACUACAAGGCCUAGAAUCAUCAAACUUUGUCUGUAGAUACAUCUUGGGUAGAAGGUGUGUCGCACAUUAAAACCAGGUCACUGUGACUUUUCAUUAAGAAGAUAUGGCCAUAUAUGGCAAAAACUUGUCCGGCUCAUAACUUGAAAACUAUUAGGGCUAGAAUCACCAAAAUUGGUCAACUAAUGCAUCUUAGGUAGAAGGUGUGUCACAUCCUACUUUAAGGUCACUGUGACAUUUAAUUAAGGUAAUAUAAAAAAAAAUGUUUUAAUGGGUACAAUCUAUACUGUUAACAAUAUGUGACGGGCGUAUCAUGUGCCGUGGCGGUGCACUUUAUUCUAGAAAUGGCAUCAGAAAAACACCCUAUGUAACCUUUUCUGCUUAUACUCAUUUAUUUUUAUUGGAAAACUUAUUACUUGUUAUCAGCUACUCUAAAACAAUAUUGACUUGUGCUAUAAUAAAUUUGUAAACUUUA